UACGGGGGGGGCAAGCGUUGUUCGGAAUUAUUGGGCGUAAAGAGCUCGUAGGCGGCCUGUCGCGUCGGUUGUGAAAGCCCGGGGCUCAACCCCGGGUCUGCAGUCGAUACGGGCAGGCUAGAGUUCGGUAGGGGAGAUCGGAAUUCCUGGUGUAGCGGUGAAAUGCGCAGAUAUCAGGAGGAACACCGGUGGCGAAGGCGGAUCUCUGGGCCGAUACUGACGCUGAGGAGCGAGAGCGUGGGGAGCGAACAGG
rnacentral:rRNA from 1 species